UUAAAGUAAGGUAGAGAAAGGAGUAGAGAUCAAAUUUUAAAACCACAAUGUACUUGAAAGUAAAUAAAAUUUUUUUGAUAAGAAACUAAAGAAAUGAAAAAUAGAAAACACAACAUAGAGCUCUAAAAAAAACAAUGAAACCAAAGGAUUGAAAAUUCAUUAUCUACUAGAUACACGCAGUGAACAAAUAACACUCAAACAUAAAAGAGAAGAAUAAAGAACAAUGCAAAAUGGUGGAGAAUAGGAGAUACGAAGAAAACUUACUCGACAAGUAUUUCCAAACAAACUACUCUUUUCCUCGAGAAACCUUAAAAUUCUACUUUCACGCUUACCUGACAAGUAUGUGUGUACUAGAAAAUUAAUUUUGAAUUCGUUAAUUUCUUUAUUUGUUUUUUAUCUUGAUCUUGCGUUGUCUAUUCCUCAUUUCUUUAGUUUUGUACCUGCAUAAUUUGAUUUUCUUUCAACGAUAUUGUGCCUUAAGAGUUAAUUUUCUUGUUCUCAUUUUUACAUUUGAUCUCUACUCCNNNNNNNNNNNNNNNNNNNNNNNNNNNNNNNNNNNNNNNNNNNNNNNNNNNNNNNNNNNNNNNNNNNNNNNNNNNNNNNNNNNNNNNNNNNNNNNNNNNNAGUUCUUGGAUAAGUUUCCUCCGUAUUCCCUAUUCUCUCAAAUUUUGCACUGUCUACUGUAUGAGUGUACGAGAAAAUUACUUUUGAACCCGUUAAAAAAACAAAGAAAGGUUAACGAACUAAUUCCCAAUAAACUUCUCUUUACCACGAAAAACCUAAAAAUUCUACCAUUCUUUUUAAAGCAAGGUAGAGAAAGGAGUAGAUAUCAAAUGUUAAAACCACAAUGUCCUUGAAAGUAAAUCAAAUUAUUCUGAUACGAAACUAAAGAAAUGAGGAAUAAAAAACACAACAUCAAGCUUUAAAAAAAAAACAAAGAAAUCAAAGAAAUCAAAGGAUUGAAAAUUAAUUCUCUACUACACACAAGCGGUCAACAAAUAACACUCAAACAUAAAAGAGAAUAAUGAAGAACAAUGCAAAAUGGAGGAGAAUAGGGGAUACGGAGGAAACUUACCUGACAAGUAUUUCCCCAUAAACUUCUCUUUACCUUGAGAAACUUGAAAAUUCUACCCUUACGCUUAUAGAAGGUAGCGAAAGGUGUAGAGAUCAAAUGUAAAAACGAGAAUUAGAAAAUUAACUCUUAAGGCUUAAUAUGGUUGAAAGCAAAUCAAAUUUUGCCGAUACGAAACUAAAGAAAUGAGGAAUAGACAACGCAACAUCAAAAUAAAAAACAAAGAAAGAAAUUAUUGGAUUCAAUAUUAAUUUUCUAGAACACACAUAUAAUAAACAUAUAACACGAAAACAUAAAAGAGAAAUAAGAAGAACAACGCAAAAUUUGAGAGAAUAGGGAAUAUGGAGAAAACUUAUCUAAGAACUAAUUCCCAAUAAACUUCUCUUGACAAGGGGAAACUUAAAAAUUCUAUCCUUACGCUUAAAGCAAGGUAGAGAAAGGAAUAGAGAUCAAAUUUUAAAACCACAAUGUACUUGAAAGUAAAUAAAAUUUUUUUGAUAAGAAACUAAAGAAAUGAGAAAUAGAAAACACAACAUAGAGCUCCAAAAAAAACAAUGAAAUCAAAGGAUUGAAAAUUCAUUAUCUACUAGAUACACGCAGUGACCAAAUAACACUCAAAUAUAAAAGAGAAGAAUAAAGAACAAUGCAAAAUGGUGGAGAAUAGGAGAUACGAAGAAAACUUACUCGACAAAUAUUUCCAAACAAACUACUCUUUUCCUCGAGAAACCUUAAAAUUCUACUUUCACGCUUACCUGACAAGUAUGUGUGUACUAGAAAAUUAAUUUUGAAUUCGUUAAUUUCUUUAUUUGUUUUUUAUCUUGAUCUUGCGUUGUCUAUUCCUCAUUUCUUUAGUUUUGUACCUGCAUAAUUUGAUUUUCUUUCAACGAUAUUGUGCCUUAAGAGUUAAUUUUCUUGUUCUCAUUUUUACAUUUGAUCUCUACUCUUUUCGCUACAUUCUAUAAGCGUAAGGGUAGAAUUUUCAGGUUUCCCGAGUAAAAGAGAAGUUUGUUUGAAAAUACUUGUCAGGUAAGUUUUCUUCGUAUCCCCUAUUCUCCUCCAUUUCGCAUUGUUCUUCAUUCUUCUCUUUUAUAUUUGAGUGUUAUUUGUUCACUGCGUGUAUCUAGUAGAUAAUGAAUUUUCAAUCCUUUGAUUUCAUUGUUUUUUUUUAGAGCUCUAUGUUGUGUUUUCUAUUUCUCAUUUCUUUAGUUUGUUAUCAAAAAAUUUUUAUUUACUUUCAAGUACAUUGUGGUUUUAAAAUUUGAUCUCUACUCCUUUCUCUACCUUGCUUUAAGCGUAAGGGUAGAAUUUUUAGGUUUCCCCUUGUCAAAAGAAGUUUAUUGGGAAUUAGUUCUUCGAUAGGUUUUCUCCAUAUUCCCUAUUCUCUCAAAUUCUGCGUUGUUCUUCUUAUUUAUCUUUUAUGUUUUCGUGUUAUAUGUUUACUAUAUAUGUGUGUUCUAGAAAAUUAAUAUUGAAUCCAAUAAUUUCUUUCUUUGUUUUUUAUCUUGAUGUUGCGUUGUCUAUUCCUCAUUUCUUUAGUUUCGUACCGGCAGAAUUUGAUUUCCUUUCAACCAUAUUAAGCCUUAAGAGUUAAUUUUCUAAUUCUCGUUUUUACAUUUGAUCUCUACACCUUUCGCUACCUUCUAUAAGCGUAAGGGUAGAAUUUUCAAGUUUCUCGAGGUAAAGAGAAGUUUAUGGGGAAAUACUUGUCAGGUAAGUUUCCUCCGUAUCCCCUAUUCUCCUCCAUUUUGCAUUGUUCUUUAUUAUUCCCUUUUAUGUUUGAGUGUUAUUUGUUGACCGCUUGUGUGUAGUAGAGAAUUAAUUUUCAAUCCUUUGAUUUCUUUGUUUUUUUUUAAAAGCUUGAUGUGAUGUUUUUUAUUCCUCAUUUCUUUAGUUUCGUAUCAGAAUAAUUUGAUUUACUUUCAAGGACAUUGUGGUUUUAAAAUUUGAUAUCUAUUCCUUUCUCUACCUUGCUUUAAGAAGAAUGGUAGAAUUUUCAGGUUUUCCGUGCUAAAGAGAAGUUUAUUGGAAAUUAGUUCUUGAAUAAGUUUCCUCCGUAUUCCCUAUUCUCUCAAAUUUUGCACUGUCUACUGUAUGAGUGUACGAGAAAAUUACUUUUGAACCCGUUAAAAAAAAAAAGAAUGGUUAAAGAACUAAUUCCCAAUAAACUUCUCUUUACCACGGAAAACCUGAAAAUUCUACCAUUCUUCUUAAAGCAAGGUAGAGAAAGGAGUAGAUAUCAAAUGUUAAAACCACAAUGUCCUUGAAAGUAAAUCAAAUUAUUCUGAUACGAAACUAAAGAAAUGAGGAAUAAAAAACACAAC
rnacentral:lncRNA from 1 species